GGCUGGUCUGAAGGUAGUGGGUUAUCUCAAUUUCAGCCAGUUACAGAUGGAGCUCCUUGUCCUGAUCUUUCCUCUCUGCUCAUGACUACAUUGGGCUAAUCUUAA
ensembl:misc_RNA Y_RNA Y RNA